rnacentral:rRNA from 1 species
GUGGGGAAUAUUGCACAAUGGGCGAAAGCCUGAUGCAGCGACGCCGCGUGAGGGAUGACGGCCUUCGGGUUGUAAACCUCUUUCAGCAGGGAAGAAGCGAAAGUGACGGUACCUGCAGAAGAAGCACCGGCUAACUACGUGCCAGCAGCCGCGGUAAUACGUAGGGUGCGAGCGUUGUCCGGAAUUAUUGGGCGUAAAGAGCUUGUAGGCGGUUUGUCGCGUCUGCUGUGAAAAUCCGGGGCUCAACCCCGGACUUGCAGUGGGUACGGGCAGACUAGAGUGUGGUAGGGGAGACUGGAAUUCCUGGUGUAGCGGUGAAAUGCGCAGAUAUCAGGAGGAACACCGAUGGCGAAGGCAGGUCUCUGGGCCACUACUGACGCUGAGAAGCGAAAGCAUGGGGAGCGAACAGGAUUAGAAACCCUAGUAGUCC